UACGUAGGGUGCGAGCGUUGUCCGGAAUUAUUGGGCGUAAAGGGCUCGUAGGUGGCCAACUAAGUCAGACGUGAAAUCCCUCGGCUUAACCUGGGAACUGCAUUUGUGACUGCAUGGCUAGAGUACGGCAGAGGGGGAUGGAAUUCCGCGUGUAGCAGUGAAAUGCGUAGAUAUGCGGAGGAACACCGAUGGCGAAGGCAAUCCCCUGGGCCUGUACUGACGCUCAUGCACGAAAGCGUGGGGAGCAAACAGG
rnacentral:rRNA from 1 species